UUCGUAGGCGGUGCGGCAAGUUGGGAGUGAAAUCUCUGGGCUUAACCCAGAGGCUGCUUUCAAAACUGCCGUGCUCGAGUGCGAGAGAGGUCAGUGGAAUUGCAGGUGUAGCGGUGAAAUGCGUAGAUAUCUGCAGGAACACCCGUGGCGAAGGCGGCUGACUGGAUCGCAACUGACGCUGAGGAACGAAAGCUAGGGGAGCAAACA
rnacentral:rRNA from 1 species